CCAAUAGCGUAUAUUAAAGUUGUUGCAGUUAAAAAGCUCGUAGUUGAAUUUCGGGAUUAAUAUGCUGGUCGUGCCAUUGGUACGUACUAGUAUUAUUGAUUUCUCCCUCCUGAUGAAUCAUGAUGUCAUUAAUUUGAUGUCAUGGGGAAUCAGGACUGUUACUUUGAAAAAAUUAGAGUGUUUAAAGCAGGCUCGCGCUUGAAUACAUUAGCAUGGAAUA
rnacentral:rRNA from 1 species